UACAGAGGGGGCAAGCGUUAUUCGGAAUUAUUGGGCGUAAAGGGCGCGUCGGCGGGAUGGCAAGUCGGUCGUGAAAUCCCUCGGCUCAACCGAGGAACGUCGAUCGAUACUGCUGUUCUUGAGGAUUGCAGAGGAGACUGGAAUUCCCGGUGUAGCGGUGAAAUGUGUAGAGAUCGGGAGGAACACCGGUGGCGAAGGCGGGUCUCUGGGCAAUUCCUGACGCUGAGGCGCGAAAGCGUGGGGAGCAAACGGG
rnacentral:rRNA from 1 species